rnacentral:rRNA from 1 species
AACGAACGCUGGCGGCAUGCCUAACACACGCAAGUCGAACGAGACCUUCGGGUCUAGUGGCGCACGGGUGCGUAACGCGUGGGAACCUGCCCUUAGGUUCGGAAUAACUCCCCGAAAGGGGUGCUAAUACCGGAUAAUGUCUUCGGACCAAAGAUUUAUCGCCUUUGGAUGGGCCCGCGUUGGAUUAGCUAGUUGGUAGGGUAAAAGCCUACCAAGGCGACGAUCCAUAGCUGGUCUGAGAGGAUGAUCAGCCACACUGGGACUGAGACACGGCCCAGACUCCUACGGGAAGCAGCAGUGGGGAAUAUUGGACAAUGGGCGAAAGCCUGAUCCAGCAAUGCCGCGUGAGUGAUGAAGGCCUUAGGGUUGUAAAGCUCUUUUACCCGGGAUGAUAAUGACAGUACCGGGAGAAUAAGCUCCGGCUAACUCCGUG